GGUUAAGCGACUAAGCGUACACGGUGGAUGCCCUGGCAGUCAGAGGCGAUGAAGGACGUGCUAAUCUGCGAUAAGCGUCGGUAAGGUGAUAUGAACCGUUAUAACCGGCGAUUUCCGAAUGGGGAAACCCAGUGUGAUUCGUCACACUAUCAUUAACUGAAUCCAUAGGUUAAUGAGGCGAACCGGGGGAACUGAAACAUCUAAGUACCCCGAGGAAAAGAAAUCAACCGAGAUUCCCCCAGUAGCGGCGAGCGAACGGGGAGCAGCCCAGAGCCUGAAUCAGUGUGUGUGUUAGUGGAAGCGUCUGGAAAGGGCGUGCGAUACAGGGUGACAGCCCCGUACACAAAAAUGCACAUGCUGUGAGCUCGAUGAGUAGGGCGGGACACGUGGUAUCCUGUCUGAAUAUGGGGGGACCAUCCUCCAAGGCUAAAUACUCCUGACUGACCGAUAGUGAACCAGUACCGUGAGGGAAAGGCGAAAAGAACCCCGGCGAGGGGAGUGAAAAAGAACCUGAAACCGUGUACGUACAAGCAGUGGGAGCACGCUUAGGCGUGUGACUGCGUACCUUUUGUAUAAUGGGUCAGCGACUUAUAUUCUGUAGCAAGGUUAACCGAAUAGGGGAGCCGAAGGGAAACCGAGUCUUAACUGGGCGUUAAGUUGCAGGGUAUAGACCCGAAACCCGGUGAUCUAGCCAUGGGCAGGUUGAAGGUUGGGUAACACUAACUGGAGGACCGAACCGACUAAUGUUGAAAAAUUAGCGGAUGACUUGUGGCUGGGGGUGAAAGGCCAAUCAAACCGGGAGAUAGCUGGUUCUCCCCGAAAGCUAUUUAGGUAGCGCCUCGUGAAUUCAUCUCCGGGGGUAGAGCACUGUUUCGGCAAGGGGGUCAUCCCGACUUACCAACCCGAUGCAAACUGCGAAUACCGGAGAAUGUUAUCACGGGAGACACACGGCGGGUGCUAACGUCCGUCGUGAAGAGGGAAACAACCCAGACCGCCAGCUAAGGUCCCAAAGUCAUGGUUAAGUGGGAAACGAUGUGGGAAGGCCCAGACAGCCAGGAUGUUGGCUUAGAAGCAGCCAUCAUUUAAAGAAAGCGUAAUAGCUCACUGGUCGAGUCGGCCUGCGCGGAAGAUGUAACGGGGCUAAACCAUGCACCGAAGCUGCGGCAGCGACGCUGAUGCGUUGUUGGGUAGGGGAGCGUUCUGUAAGCCUGCGAAGGUGUGCUGUGAGGCAUGCUGGAGGUAUCAGAAGUGCGAAUGCUGACAUAAGUAACGAUAAAGCGGGUGAAAAGCCCGCUCGCCGGAAGACCAAGGGUUCCUGUCCAACGUUAAUCGGGGCAGGGUGAGUCGACCCCUAAGGCGAGGCCGAAAGGCGUAGUCGAUGGGAAACAGGUUAAUAUUCCUGUACUUGGUGUUACUGCGAAGGGGGGACGGAGAAGGCUAUGUUGGCCGGGCGACGGUUGUCCCGGUUUAAGCGUGUAGGCUGGUUUUCCAGGCAAAUCCGGAAAAUCAAGGCUGAGGCGUGAUGACGAGGCACUACGGUGCUGAAGCAACAAAUGCCCUGCUUCCAGGAAAAGCCUCUAAGCAUCAGGUAACAUCAAAUCGUACCCCAAACCGACACAGGUGGUCAGGUAGAGAAUACCAAGGCGCUUGAGAGAACUCGGGUGAAGGAACUAGGCAAAAUGGUGCCGUAACUUCGGGAGAAGGCACGCUGAUAUGUAGGUGAAGUCCCUCGCGGAUGGAGCUGAAAUCAGUCGAAGAUACCAGCUGGCUGCAACUGUUUAUUAAAAACACAGCACUGUGCAAACACGAAAGUGGACGUAUACGGUGUGACGCCUGCCCGGUGCCGGAAGGUUAAUUGAUGGGGUCAGCGCAAGCGAAGCUCUUGAUCGAAGCCCCGGUAAACGGCGGCCGUAACUAUAACGGUCCUAAGGUAGCGAAAUUCCUUGUCGGGUAAGUUCCGACCUGCACGAAUGGCGUAAUGAUGGCCAGGCUGUCUCCACCCGAGACUCAGUGAAAUUGAACUCGCUGUGAAGAUGCAGUGUACCCGCGGCAAGACGGAAAGACCCCGUGAACCUUUACUAUAGCUUGACACUGAACAUUGAGCCUUGAUGUGUAGGAUAGGUGGGAGGCUUUGAAGUGUGGACGCCAGUCUGCAUGGAGCCGACCUUGAAAUACCACCCUUUAAUGUUUGAUGUUCUAACGUUGACCCGUAAUCCGGGUUGCGGACAGUGUCUGGUGGGUAGUUUGACUGGGGCGGUCUCCUCCUAAAGAGUAACGGAGGAGCACGAAGGUUGGCUAAUCCUGGUCGGACAUCAGGAGGUUAGUGCAAUGGCAUAAGCCAGCUUGACUGCGAGCGUGACGGCGCGAGCAGGUGCGAAAGCAGGUCAUAGUGAUCCGGUGGUUCUGAAUGGAAGGGCCAUCGCUCAACGGAUAAAAGGUACUCCGGGGAUAACAGGCUGAUACCGCCCAAGAGUUCAUAUCGACGGCGGUGUUUGGCACCUCGAUGUCGGCUCAUCACAUCCUGGGGCUGAAGUAGGUCCCAAGGGUAUGGCUGUUCGCCAUUUAAAGUGGUACGCGAGCUGGGUUUAGAACGUCGUGAGACAGUUCGGUCCCUAUCUGCCGUGGGCGCUGGAGAACUGAGGGGGCUGCUCCUAGUACGAGAGGACCGGAGUGGACGCAUCACUGGUGUUCGGGUUGUCAUGCCAAUGGCACUGCCCGGUAGCUAAAUGCGGAAGAGAUAAGUGCUGAAAGCAUCUAAGCACGAAACUUGCCCCGAGAUGAGUUCUCCCUGACUCCUUGAGAGUCCUGAAGGAACGUUGAAGACGACGACGUUGAUAGGCCGGGUGUGUAAGCGCAGCGAUGCGUUGAGCUAACCGGUACUAAUGAACCGUGAGGCUUAACCUU
rnacentral:rRNA from 1 species